GUAUUUAUAUUUUGAAGCGGUUAGUGGCGGACUGGUGAGUAACGCGUAAGGAACCUGCCUAUUAGAGGGGAAUAACAGUGAGAAAUCAUUGCUAAUACCGCAUAUGCCAUAGAUAUCACAUGAUAACAGUGGGAAAGGAGCAAUCCGCUAAUAGAUGGCCUUGCGUCUGAUUAGAUAGUUGGUGGGGUAACGGCCUACCAAGUCGACGAUCAGUAGCCGGACUGAGAGGUUGAACGGCCACAUUGGGACUGAGAUACGGCCCAGACUCCUACGGGAGGCAGCAGUCGGGAAUAUUGCGCAAUGGAGGAAACUCUGACGCAGUGACGCCGCGUAUAGGAAGAAGGUUUUCGGAUUGUAAACUAUUGUCGUUAGGGAAGAGAAAGGACAGUACCUAAGGAGGAAGCUCCGGCUAACUACGUGCCAGCAGCCGCGGUAAUACGUAGGGAGCGAGCGUUAUCCGGAAUUAUUGGGUGUAAAGGGUGCGUAGACGGGAGAACAAGUUAGUUGUGAAAUACCUCGGCUCAACUGAGGAACUGCAACUAAAACUGUACUUCUUGAGUGCAGGAGAGGUAAGUGGAAUUCCUAGUGUAGCGGUGAAAUGCGUAGAUAUUAGGAGGAACACCAGUGGCGAAGGCGACUUACUGGACUGUAACUGACGUUGAGGCA
rnacentral:rRNA from 1 species